AAAAAUAAAAAAUAAAAAAUAAAUUUAUUUGUUCAACUUUACUAAAAAAGGAGGCUAGUACUUUGGAACGAUCGUCUUGAGCAAGCGAGCACCGAUCGUCGUCUUCGGCGAGAGCGAGCGAACAAGCACCGACCGUCUUCUUCAGCGAGCGAGCAGCGAUCGUCUUCUUCAUCGAGAGCAAGCAACGAUCGUCUUCUUCGUCGAGCGAGCGAGUGUCCUCUUUGUCUCUGUGGUUUUGAUUUCUAGGUUUUGUCCUAAUUUCAAGUUUCAUCUGGAAGCUUCUCUGCUCUCAAUGACCCAGAGUGUUUUAGAAUGAGAGAAAUGGUAUAUCCCUCUCAUACGGAUCAUCUACAUACAUAUGUUGCAUUGCAUAGUAAAGAAGAAGCAGAGAAUAACUAUCUAAACUCAUUUUCAUCUGGAUACAAAGAAGAAGCACUGUAGCAGAGGCAGUCAUGGACUAAUACUCUGGUUCCACAAGCUGCCACUACGACAAAAAAUGUUUUAAGUCUCAAGAGUUUUGGCUCCAAGGGCUUUGGUGUGUUCUCAUCCUUCUGGGUUUGAUGUUUGAGAACUUUCAGAAGAUGCUCCCGAUGAUAUAGAAGGGUUGGAUGCUUCUGCAGCACAUGUUGCAAAUUUGCUAUCAACAGAGCCUGAUGACAAUAGGUUAUGAUGUGGUUCCUUAUAAGUUUGGUGAGAAAUCUUCGCAGACUUUGAGUUCAACUGGCUAUCAGAACAUGACUUUGAGUUCCUUAUAAGUUUGCUUAAAUAUGUGUGUGGUAGACAAUAGAGGGGUUUUUCGAGCAGUAGGUUCAUUGUAUUUUGCUGUGUUUGUAGGAAUGGGCUCAUAAGCAUUACACAGCAAAAGCAUCAAGAGGGGCCAUCUCAACAAUGGAGAAACUUCUACUAAUUCAGGAUGCAAAAUACAACUAAUUCAGGGAUGCGGAAUACAUUUAUCAAUUUAUUUUUAGAUUUUUUUUUUGAGAGAUACAUGUCUUGUGAAUUUGUUGGAGGAAUGUUGAUACAUAUAUAGUUUUUUUUAAAUGAUAUAUGAUGCCCAUUUUGUUAUUUUA